GACAGAGGGUGCAAACGUUGCUCGGAAUCACUGGGCGUAAAGGGCGUGUAGGCGGGAAGGAAAGUCAGAUGUGAAAUCCCCAGGCUCAACCUGGGAACUGCAUUUGAAACUCCCUUUCUUGAGUACCGGAGAGGAAAGUGGAAUUCCUGGUGUAGAGGUGAAAUUCGUAGAUAUCAGGAGGAACACCAGUGGCGAAGGCGGCUUUCUGGACGGUAACUGACGCUGGAGACGCGAAAGCGUGGGGAGCAAACAGG
rnacentral:rRNA from 1 species